CAACCGUCGUACCGUUCGCGACUCGACCACCGUCGCGCGUGCAACCGUUUCGGACCGGAAACGGCCGGUCUUAUCCGUGCCCGUCUGGUCUGAACGCCCCGGGGGCCUUGCAAAUGACGGGACAGGGGUGCUCCCGGCGAAUUCCGGCGUUUCUCACCCACCCCCUAGUUUCGUUUCGGCCCGCCGCGGAUUUGACAAAACAUAACGGCGACGAGUGGUCCGCGUACGUGUCCCCGCGACGCGUACGACCAGGCGACCGGGCCUGCGUGUACCGGGGUGGGAACCGCACAAAACCUAAAACGUACCGGGCACGUGCGCGCGCGUCAACGGUUACGAACCGCAAGAGUCGCACUCGCGGUAAAACAGAGCUGCGGUGCGGGCGAAUAUUGCGCCGGAGUUGACAGAGUUGACGUUGUUUUCACUCCUCGCGAUCUCUACAAAUAAUCCGUCACGAAAAAAAAAAAUUAUGAUUAUCCGCCGUGGUUUUUUAUUUUUCCCGUUGAGAUAUACAUGUAUGUACGUAUAUGCCCCUUGCGCUAACCCCCCCCUCCCACCCCCGUAAGUCGUCGUUCAGAAGUUCAUAGUGUAGUAAAAUGUCAUGUACUCUGCGAAAUGCAUUAUAACGAGGGGGGAAAAAAAAAAAAAAAGAGAUUUAUUUGAAAUAUUUAACGUUAAAUGGGAAUACCGUUAUAUAUUAUUUACACUUGUGUAUUUUACGAUAUUGUCUAUUUAUAUUCAUUAUCUAUGUUUUAAGUUUGAUAUUUUAUGAUACAUAAUAUAUUAUUAUAUACGUGUUGUAUUUUUAACCAUAUAUAUUUUAAAUAUUAAAACGACGGUAAUUUUUCGACGACAAUAUUUUUUAACUGUUUGUACACUCGCGAAAAAUAGCAUGUUAACGUUACGAGCACGUGCCGUACCACCGUUCGACGUACGGCCGCGUGAGUUUGUGUAUCUCGGCACACAUAACACGUUAAUAUAAUUUUAUUAUAACGUAUUUAUUGUCGUACUAUUGUUUGUAAUAAUAACGCUUUAAAUGUACCAGAAAAAAAAAAAAAAACAUGAUUUUCGCUAAACAAUAAUUGUGUUUUUAUUAAUUUUUGUCGCUCAAAAUAAGUUAACGUGUAUUGCAGGAAAAAAAAAACAAUAUUUACGACGACAUUUCGUGAUAACCGGCUAUAUAUUUUUUUUUCUCUUCCGCCGUUUCGCGCGUCAACGGAGGACAAUUACCAUUAGGGGGACGCGGCUCACGGCCAGUGAAACACGGAAUGCGAAUAAUAAGG